GACGUAGGAGACAAACGUUAUCCGGAGUUACUGGGCGUAAAGGGCGUGCAGGUGGUUACUUAAGUCUGAUGUGAAAUCUCUCUGCUCAACGGAGAGGGUGCGUUGGAUACUGGGUGACUUGAGGACGGUAGGGGUGGAUGGAAUUCCGGGUGUAGUGGUGAAAUGCGUAGAUAUCCGGAGGAACACCAGUGGCGAAGGCGAUCCACUAGGCCGUACCUGACACUAAGACGCGACAGCAUGGGGAGCGAACGGG
rnacentral:rRNA from 1 species